UUUAAACCCUAAAUAUGAUUUAAUUUCUUAUAUUU
rnacentral:tRNA from 1 species